rnacentral:rRNA from 1 species
UACGGAGGGUGCAAGCGUUAAUCGGAAUUACUGGGCGUAAAGCGUGCGCAGGCGGUUUGUUAAGUCUGCUGUGAAAUCCCCGAGCUCAACUUGGGAAUUGCAGUGGAUACUGGCAAGCUGGAGUACGGUAGAGGAAGGUGGAAUUCCCGGUGUAGCAGUGAAAUGCGUAGAGAUCCGGAAGAACACCGACGGCGAAGGCAGCGUCCUGGCCGAGCACUGACGCUCAGGCACGAAAGCGCGGGGAGCAAACAGG